rnacentral:rRNA from 1 species
UACGUAGGGUGCGAGCGUUAAUCGGAAUUACUGGGCGUAAAGCGUGCGCAGGCGGCGCUGUAAGACAGAUGUGAAAUCCCCGGGCUUAACCUGGGAACUGCAUUUGUGACUGCAGUGCUAGAGUGUGUCAGAGGGGGGUGGAAUUCCACGUGUAGCAGUGAAAUGCGUAGAGAUGUGGAGGAACACCGAUGGCGAAGGCAGCCCCCUGGGAUAACACUGACGCUCAGGCACGAAAGCGUGGGGAGCAAACAGGA